GUUCAAGCGCCCAUAAUUUGCGUGCCAUGGUUGUGAUGGGCAAUCGGAUCGAUGGACCUUUGCCAGCGUGGGUACGUCCCGAGGAAAUUGCAUCUGUGUUGUUGUACAACGCGCACCCUGGCCGUAUGACUCUCAUUCUUGUAAUUAUUUACGUGGUUGGAGCUU
rnacentral:ribozyme from 1 species